ensembl:lncRNA
AGAAGGUGGAGGAAGAUAAGGAGGUGGAAGAGGAGGAGGAAGAUGAGGAGGUGGAAGAGAAGGAGGAGGAAGAGGAGAAGGUGGAAGAGAAGGAGGUGGAAGAGGAGGAGGAAGAGGAGUAGGAAGAGAAGGAGGCGGAAGAGGAGGAGGAAGUGGAAGAGAAGGAGGAGGAAGAGGAGGAGGUGGAAGAGGAGGAGGUGGAGGAGGAGGUGGAAGAGAAGGAGGAGGAAGAGAGGAGGAGGAAGAGAAGGAGGUGGAAGAGGAGGAGGAGGAAGAGGAGGAGGUGGAAGAGAAGGAGGAGGAAGAGCAGGAGGAGGAAGAGAAGGAGGUGGAAGAGGAGGAGGAGGAAGAGACAGAGGAGAAAGAGAAGGAGGGGAAGAGAAGGAGGUGGAAGAGAAGGAGGAGGAAGAGGAGGAGGUGGAAGAGAAGGAGGAGGAAGAGGAGUAGGAGGAAGUGGAAGAGAAGGAGG